AACGCUGGCGGCAGGCUUAACACAUGCAAGUCGAGCGGAGAUGAGGUGCUUGCACCUUAUCUUAGCGGCGGACGGGUGAGUAAUGCUUAGGAAUCUGCCUAUUAGUGGGGGACAACAUUCCGAAAGGAAUGCUAAUACCGCAUACGUCCUACGGGAGAAAGCAGGGGAUCUUCGGACCUUGCGCUAAUAGAUGAGCCUAAGUCGGAUUAGCUAGUUGGUGGGGUAAAGGCCUACCAAGGCGACGAUCUGUAGCGGGUCUGAGAGGAUGAUCCGCCACACUGGGACUGAGACACGGCCCAGACUCCUACGGGAGGCAGCAGUGGGGAAUAUUGGACAAUGGGGGGAACCCUGAUCCAGCCAUGCCGCGUGUGUGAAGAAGGCCUUAUGGUUGUAAAGCACUUUAAGCGAGGAGGAGGCUACUGAGACUAAUACUCUUGGAUAGUGGACGUUACUCGCAGAAUAAGCACCGGCUAACUCUGUGCCAGCAGCCGCGGUAAUACAGAGGGUGCGAGCGUUAAUCGGAUUUACUGGGCGUAAAGCGUGCGUAGGCGGCUUUUUAAGUCGGAUGUGAAAUCCCCGAGCUUAACUUGGGAAUUGCAUUCGAUACUGGGAAGCUAGAGUAUGGGAGAGGAUGGUAGAAUUCCAGGUGUAGCGGUGAAAUGCGUAGAGAUCUGGAGGAAUACCGAUGGCGAAGGCAGCCAUCUGGCCUAAUACUGACGCUGAGGUACGAAAGCAUGGGGAGCAAACAGGAUUAGAUACCCUGGUAGUCCAUGCCGUAAACGAUGUCUACUAGCCGUUGGGGCCUUUGAGGCUUUAGUGGCGCAGCUAACGCG
rnacentral:rRNA from 1 species